rnacentral:lncRNA from 1 species
AGGAGGUUUCAGUGUUUUCUUGUUGAUUUGACAGGUUUUUUUGUAUAUUAAGGACAUCAAUAGUUCUUUAUAUGGCACAUAUAAAGCCCAAGUUUUAUUUGUCUUAGAAGGAAAAUACUUACUUGUCUUACUCCUAACAAAGGAUGUUCAUUUAUGAACCCUCAACAAACUCAGCAGCAAGACUAGUAGCAAUAGUAUUCUUUAUCCUUAAUCACAGCUUCUACUUCUAUGAGUUUAAUUUCCCAAGUGUCUGGAAUUCACAGGAGAGGGCUUAGCAGCUCCUCCUAGAUCGCUGGUAUCAACUGCACACUUGUAAUCUGGGGUGGAAAUCAGCCCAGAAGGGGCAGCCAGAAGGUACAGAAAAAAGUCUUUGAGGCUGUUGACCAGCAUUGAGCAAAGGACUGCCUUGCUCUGUAGACGGCCACAAGGCACUGGUUACCUCACCCUCCUUUGAGAUAAAUGAAAGGAGGCAAAAAAACAAGGUGAUGAAAAUUCUGUUUAGAACUUGAUUUAAUUGAACACUGCCAGGAAUUUAUUUUCAUAUUUUUCAGUAUAUUUUAGAGAGAAGAAAAAUGCUGUGAGACCUGACAUUUCUCCAUUACUCCCCCUUCAACCCUCAAGCAUGUUUCAUUUUGAGGAAAAAUAAUCCAUCAUGUCAGGUUUUGUCAUACAGUGCUUUAAGCUCCAAAUAAUUCCUGAUGUUUCAUAUGAACUGUGGGAAGGACGCAGAAAACUCAGCACGUCUCUCCUGGAACUGGACAUGGAGCAGGUCGGUCUGGAUUGCUCAGAGGGUGGACAGAGAAAUCUGAGAGCAG